rnacentral:rRNA from 1 species
UGGUGAACCAGCGGAGGGAUCAUUACCGAGUUUACAACUCCCAAACCCAAUGUGAACGUUACCAAACUGUUGCCUCGGCGGGAUCUCUGCCCCGGGUGCGUCGCAGCCCCGGACCAAGGCGCCCGCCGGAGGACCAACCUAAAACUCUUUUUGUAUACCCCCUCGCGGGUUUUUUUAUAAUCUGAGCCUUCUCGGCGCCUCUCGUAGGCGUUUCGAAAAUGAAUCAAAACUUUCAACAACGGAUCUCUUGGUUCUGGCAUCGAUGAAGAACGCAGCGAAAUGCGAUAAGUAAUGUGAAUUGCAGAAUUCAGUGAAUCAUCGAAUCUUUGAACGCACAUUGCGCCCGCCAGUAUUCUGGCGGGCAUGCCUGUCCGAGCGUCAUUUCAACCCUCGAACCCCUCCGGGGGGUCGGCGUUGGGGAUCGGCCCUCCCUUAGCGGGUGGCCGUCUCCGAAAUACAGUGGCGGUCUCGCCGCAGCCUCUCCUGCGCAGUAGUUUGCACACUCGCAUCGGGAGCGCGGCGCGUCCACAGCCGUUAAACACCCAACUUCUGAAAUGUUGACCUCGGAUCAGGUAGGAA